UCAGAUAUUCCCUCCUUUUCUUUGCUUCUUCUUCUUCUUCUUUUCAAUACUUAACCCCUAUAUAUCUAUAUAUAUAUAUAGAACAGAGAAAGUUUGCUGGGAGCUAAACAGUGGAGUCAAAAGAUGUGAUCUCCACAAAGAGAGGACGACCCAGUUGAGCUAACCCUAGCUAGGAGCUGUGAUGAUGUUCUCUCCCAUGACGAAGAAUCCGUCUCUCUUUCUGCUGGAUUCUCUUAUUUCCUCUCGGUGGGGAAGUUUCCGGGAAAAUGAGGGAAUUUAGGAUGUGAAUGGGAAUGAAUGUUGCAGAAAAUAUUCCAGCAUGAUCCUUGCAAAGCAGCUGGCCAAGAAGCCUUGCCAAAUGCCAAUGGAGAACUGCAUGGAUUUUCAUUCUCCAUGUAAUUCAGAAUGUCUUGGUUAUUGGGCGCCCUUGGAGGAAUGAAUUCAGUUUCAAGUCUGAAAUGCAAGACAGAUGGAAGAUGGGAAGAUGAUGUUACUAACUUACUAGGAACGAGGAAUUUGAGCCAUAAGGAUGCAGCUAUAUGGCUUCUAUACUUCUAGUGGAUUUAAGAGCUUGUGGACUGGGAAGUAGAGACCAAGAUAUCAUUACUUGGAAGCAGCAGUUUUUCAUUGCAGUGUCUCAAUGCAGUUUCCAUUAAACUUGCAUCAGCUUGAACCUAAAUUUGUGGAGGUAAUUCUAUUGAAACUCAGCUUCUAAAUUAAUCUAAUAUUCAGCUUUCUUUAGAUUUAAUAUAGAAACUAUAUAUUGACUAUAAAUUUGAAAAACUUUUUCCAUUCUUCUCAUGUUUUGGCUUUUAUUAAUUAGGUAGUGAAAAAUAUAAACUAUGAGCUUCUCAACAAGAUUUUGUCACCAACUGUACAAAAUCUCCUUGCAUGGCUAUCCUUCUCCGCAUUAGGGUUAGAACAGAGAUAGAAGUCAAGCUAAUAGUAUUUUUUUUUUUCUUUUUUUUCCUUUGGUUUGCUCGUGGAUUGCACUACAACGAUAGAUUAGAAACGACUAAUUACUAAAAAUAAUAAUUUCUGCCAAAUUAAUGUUAUUUAUACGAUUAAUUAAGCUCACUAAAAUUGUGGCUAGUUGAGAGAUCACUUAUCCUUCAGGAAAUGCAUCCCAAGUGAAUAAGCCAUUAUGAUGUAACUGCUGAUGAGACUAUGAAAGUGCAAGUGCAAUCCUGUGGUACACAUUUAUAUAUACAUAUGUAUGGUAAAAAGUUGGAACAAUUUGGUAAAUAUCUAAUAACUAAGGCAUUGACAGCCACUAGUUGGGUGCAUGAACAUGAACACUAUUAUAUAAGUUGGGCGUGUACUUGUUGCUUUAAUUACUAACCUUAGCCCUUCCAUGUAUGCGUGUGUGUAUAUAUAUUGAUGAUUGUCUUAUAGCAACUUGUUGCUUUCAUACUAAUUUGUUAAUGACUAGAGUUUUUGUGUGGUCCUCCACAAAAGGAGUUACAAAUGGCAGAUGGGCAGAGAGAGAGAGAGAGAGGAUAAGGAUAGUUUGAAAUGGGGUGCAUAAACAUUGAACAUAGCACACAAAGCCGGGCAUGGUUGCAAUUAUAUUUUUUUGCACUAUGUCACAUUCAAGCGCAAAGGAGUUGUCCUUGCUGCUCUGCCUCAGAUAGAAAACGAAACACAUGACAGCUUGUCCCUUGGGUGAGACAGUACUCAGUGGCCAAGAGUACUGUUUUGGGUGUUUGCCACUCCACACCAGAAAUUUGAGCAAUCAUUAAACCCUUGGGUUAAAACACAAUUUUAAUUUGUUUUUUUCACUGUUUCUGCUGCUGAAGGGUUGGGUGGGGAUGGACAUUCGACCUAAAAUUUUGUCACAAUAGUUUUUUAGAAUUAAUUUAUAUUGUCAGUCCGACUUUUAAAUGUUUAUUGACAUUAUGGAUGCCAUGACACUCCACGCUCUCUAUGUAGCUUACUGUGGUUUUUUAUUUUUGGUUCCUAGUAAAUAUCUCCUGGUGGUCUUUUUCCUUGCUUUAUCUUUUAGCUGUCUUUCAUAUUACUGUGUGUCUUGUAAUGGUGAAUGGUGGUGGGGUUUCAUAGGAGAAGCAAACCCCUCGCAUCUUCUUGGGGAGGAUGAUGACAGCCUCUCUCUCUCUCUCUCUCUCGCUCUAGAACUUAUCCUUGUAGAGCAUGCUGAGAUUGAGUGGAUGGUUUCUGUAAAAGGUUGAACCUUUUGAAGUUUUUAUGGGUGACCAAUUAGAUCAAUUUAUUUAGGGUUUAGUUACAAGGACGUUUUAUUCUCUACAAUUUUUCUUUUCUCGGUAUGAGUAUCCAUACAAGAUCUGGAGAGGGAAACCGAUGGUUUAAAAACCCUAAAGCAUCUGGAGGGUGCAGCCCUUUCAAAGGAGUAAUUAUUGGGUUUUUAUUGCCCUAGAUCACAAUCUUCUCUGUCUCUCUCUCGUUCAGUGCAUCUUUCUAUAACUAGGGUUUUCGCUUGUAAGAAAUUAUUGGGUGCAGACGAAUGGAGAAUCCCCGCGCAGAGAGAGGGAAAGAAGCUCGAUUGGCUGAGGAAAAAUUUAAUGAUCUUUUCCUCUUUAUGAAUGUGGAAUGCCCAGUGAGCCUCGGCCUUGCCCAUAGGUCUAAGCCCUAGUCUGAAAUCACCACUUAGAUAGCGACCCCGGAAAACUAAUUAGUUACCCUUCAAAAAGGUCCCCACCAUGCCCAAGUCGCCCGAAUUGCUGGUUUUCUUUGGAGGCUUGAACGAAGCUGUUUAAUUUGGAUCUGGAAAGUAUCAUUAGGGUUAGGGUUAACUGUCCCCUUCUGCAAAUUAAGAAAGUACAAAUUGUGGCUUCAGUUUAUUUCAUCAUUCUGGGAACAUUGUUCAGUUUCUCAAAUACAGAAAUCAGCAUCAAAAUACAUUUCUUCUGUUUCGAUGCCUGCACCUCUCUCUCUCUCUCUCUCUCUCUCUCUAUAUAUAUAUAUAUGUAUAUAUAUAUAUUUAUAUCUAUCCGAUAAUCAGGGAAUUUUAUCUCAGAAAGCAAGGAAUUUUGGGGAAAUUUCAUCAACUUUGCUUGGCCUUCCUUAACUCUCUUUGGCGUUAUUUCUAAGUUUUAGUAACCCUUUUAAGGUUCAGCCGCCUUAAAGGAUUCUUCUUUAUACUCAUAUAUAUAAACUGCCUUAGGAAUUAAAUCAAAGCAUUUUUGGAUCUGUUAGAGUACCUUCCAUUUCUUUGUUGUUUUUUACAAAAAGGGAACAAGGUACAUGGAAACUGAAAAGGGCGUUGCUGUGUUGUGUUUUUCAUUUUCUAAUUUGUUGUAUGCAUUUUCACAAAUAAUUGUAAAUAUUAAGUAAAAAAUUAAAAUAUAUGCAAAGCAGUAUAAAAAUAAUUAAUUUAUGAAUCAACAUUUUGUGUGAUUGUUUUUAAAUUUAUUUAGGAUGUUAAGCUCAAACAUUAGAUUGCUUUUAUAAAUUUCAACAGAAACUUAAUGCAAAAAUUUAAAACUCUAAUUGUAAACAAACAUUUUGUACCCUUUUGAGAAUUUUUUUUGGAUUUUACUACUUGUACAUAGAAGUUGAUAUACAUGUUGACAGAAAGUAAAAUUUAAAUGAUAAAAAUAUCCUCACUUAAUUGCAAAAGUGCACAAUCGCCCUUCCCUUGCUCCAGCAACCAUGUCUCGUUGUUGCAUCCUCCCUCUCGCCACCACUAUACACCCCUUCCUUUGUGCAAUGACAGUGAGAGGGAAGAUACAACAACAAAAGGUGAGGCGACGACGAAAGAGUCAAUUGCUAGAGGAAGGAAAGAAGAAAGAUAGGGGAGAGAGUGAAUAGGGUCAACAAAAUUUUACAAUAUAUCAGGAUAUUUUAGUGUCAAAUUAUCGUGAUAUGUUUAGUCUUUUAUAGAUGAAGAUCUUGAUGUAAUAUUGUGAUUAAAAAGAUUAUAAACUAAGGUUAGAAGUCUAAAUAAUUUCUUUGAUUAUUGUGUGUUUUAAAAUAAAUUAAAUAAAAAUUAUUUUUAAAUAUAAAAAAAGGCAUACAAUUAAUAUCACUAAAUCUGACAUUUACUUACAUAAUAGAAUUGAUAAUAAUACAAUUACUCUUAGGUUUUCUUCAUUACCCAUUAAUGUUUAUAUUUAAAUUUUCAUUGUUGGUAUUAUUUCAUAACUAAAAGUGUAGCACGCCUUCUAUAUUUGCAAGUAAAAAAUAUAAAAGGUUUUAUAUUAAGAUUUAUUUGAUGAUAAUUAGUAUGUUUUAAGUUUUAGAUCGGUCAAAUCAAAAUCAAAAAUUAAAACCCUGUAGGUUAAACUUUUUUUUCAUGUGAUAAUUUGAAUUUUUCGUUAUUUCAAUUAUACUCCUAAACUAUAUAUUUUCGUGUCAAUUGCACACUUCGCCC